rnacentral:rRNA from 1 species
CCAGACUCCUACGGGAGGCAGCAGUGGGGAAUAUUGCACAAUGGGGGAAACCCUGAUGCAGCGACGCCGCGUGAGUGAUGAAGUAUUUCGGUAUGUAAAGCUCUAUCAGCAGGGAAGAAAAUGACGGUACCUGACUAAGAAGCACCGGCUAAAUACGUGCCAGCAGCCGCGGUAAUACGUAUGGUGCAAGCGUUAUCCGGAUUUACUGGGUGUAAAGGGAGCGUAGACGGAGAGGCAAGUCUGAUGUGAAAACCCGGGGCUCAACCCCGGGACUGCAUUGGAAACUGUUUUUCUAGAGUGUCGGAGAGGCAAGUGGAAUUCCUAGUGUAGCGGUGAAAUGCGUAGAUAUUAGGAGGAACACCAGUGGCGAAGGCGGCUUGCUGGACGAUGACUGACGUUGAGGCUCGAAAGCGUGGGGAGCAAACAGGAUUAGAUACCCCGGUACC